GGUUAUCAGGUGAACACAAAUUGGCAUCAAGAGCUCACCUUUGAAAAGUCUCCCUUUCCAAUAUUCCUCUGAUACAGAAUUUGGAGUUAAAGAUAUUUUUGCUAAAGCCAGAAGUUUUUUUUUCUUUAAAGACCAGGAAGUCUACUAGGCUAGCACAUGGUUAAAUAGUCAUUGGAAUAAAUUCUUAAGACAGAGAUAUGCAUUACUUUUAUUACAGCUAUUUUCGUUGUGCUAAUGGCUCCACCAGGCAAGGAGGGGCUGCCGUGGGCUACUCAAAAUCUAAUGUUUCCAUCUGUCUUCCCAGUUCCACCCUGAAGUGGGCAUUUGUCUCACAUGUGUGUUCCUCUCUCCAGAUUAAGAGGACAAUAUUUUUAAGCUUUGGGAUUUAAUGUCUUUGCUUUAGCCUUCAGAAAAACUCUCCCUAAAACCAAUGACAGGCUCCAGCCGUAUAUUAGGCAUCCCAGCCUCCACAAGGCAGGAGCCAGAAGAGUGCUAGAAACAGAACCAAGGGGGCUUUGGAAUGGUUAAUAACAAAAGAUCCUUAAAUGUAUCAUAAAUAUCUAUUACCAGGAAGAUUAAUAAUGAUAAGAGUGUCCUUUACUUAGUGCAAGACUUUUCUCUCUUGAUACUUAACCUACCCACGUAGAUGAGGUUAAGCUAUGCACCUUAAUGGGGGACUAUUACGAUGUCUAUAAUUAAAAUGACUUUUCUUUGGAAUGCUCAAGGAAAAUUACACUUCUUUUCCUCCUAACAAUUGUGAAAACAUUAUAACAAAAUAACUAUAGCAAAUUUGAAAAGAUAAUAUCCCUACUAAUUCUACGCCCCUCAAAAAGGCGUAAAGCAACAGUUUCAAUAUAGGGCAGUCACACUUGGGAGCACAAGGACACCUGGAGAAUGUAUUUAAAAUGCAGGUUCCCAGGCCCAACUCACAUAAACUAUUUCUUGAGAUUUGAGGUCAGGGUCAGGAUUACACUUGUUAAUAAUGUCCCAGGCUAUCUGGAUGUCGUUACAAGACCAAGCUUUCAGAAGCAUCGAGAUAGAAUAGUCCCCCUUAGCAGUAGGGCACACAUUCUAAGACCCCCAGUAGAUGCUUGAAACCACAGGUAGUACUGAACCAUAUCUACACAAUGUUUUUUUUCUAUACAUACAUGGCCUAGGAAAAAGUGUAAUUUAGAAAUUAGGCACAAUAAGAGAUUAACACUAACUCAUAAUAAAAUCGAAUAUGUAUAACAAUAUGCCAACAUCACUACUCUUGUACUUUGGGGCCAAUAUUAAGUAAAAGUGAUGUGGUGGCUGUUGGCCUGAUUACCUCAACGGCUCCUAUGUGCCACAGGUGGGUGGCAUCUAUAGCAUGGAUAUGCUGGACAGUGGUGUCCAUAGUGUGGAUAUACUGGACAAAGGACUGAUGUACAUCCUAGGCAGGACAGAGCAGGACAGCACGGUUCUCAUGUGGUCCCAUGUGGUUCUCAUCACAUGACUCAGAAUGGUGUCCAAAUUAAAACUUAUGAAUUGUUCAUUUCUGGAAUUUUCCUAAUAUUUCCAGACCGAGGUUGACCAUGGGUAACUGAAACCAGAGAAUGUGAAACCGAGGACAAGGGAGACUACGGUAGAAAUGUUCAAUUCCAGCUGCUUUUCUAAUGCAAUACGUAGCUCUCAAUCUUCCAGUUCUAUGCUCCAGCGUUUUGUUAUCCACUACAUAUUUAUGGGCACUACGUACAUGGUUUUCAGCCUGGUGGAAUUUAAGAUAUCAUAAUUCAAAUCCUGAAUCUUCUCUUAAACAAAUUUAUUCAGAUAGAUUCUCAUAACACCAUUAAUGAGCCAAAGGGCAAGAACACAUUUGUGGCUUCCACUGUGUUG
rnacentral:lncRNA from 10 species